rnacentral:rRNA from 1 species
CCCGUAAGUUAGCAAUAAGGGGUGCUCGAAAGAGCCGCAGUGAAUAGGCCCUAGCAACUGUUUAACUAAAACAUAGCUCUCUGCGAAGUCGCAAGACGAAGUAUAGGGGGUGACACCUGCCCGGUGCUGGAAGGUCAAGGGGAUUUGUCAGACGCAAGUCGAAGCAUUGAACCGAAGCCCCAGUAAACGGCGGCCGUAACUAUAACGGUCCUAAGGUAGCGAAAUUCCUUGUCAGGUAAGUUCUGACCCGCACGAAUGGCGUAAUGAUUUGGGCACUGUCUCGGCAGCAGACUCGGUGAAAUCUUAGUACCUGUGAAGAUGCAGGUUACCCGCAACUAGACGGAAAGACCCCAUGGAGCUUUACUGUAGUCUGCUAUUGAGUUUCGGUUAAGUAUGCACAGGAUAGGUGGGAGACGAUGAGACUGGUCUUUCGGGAUCAGAGGAGUCACUGUUGGGAUACCACUCUGAUACUUAAUUGAAAUUCUAACUCUAAGCCGUGAUCCGGCUAGAGGACCGUGGCAGAUGGGCAGUUUGACUGGGGCGGUCGCCUCCCAAAGAGUAACGGAGGCGCACAAAGGUACUCUCAGAAUGGUUGGAAAUCAUUCAACGAGCGCAAACGCAGAAGAGUGCUUGACUGCGAGACAAACAAGUCGAGCAGGGACGAAAGUCGGUGUUAGUGAUCCGGCGGUGCAGAAUGGAAUGGCCGUCGCUUAACGGAUAAAAGCUACCCUGGGGAUAACAGGCUGAUCUCGCCCAAGAGUUCACAUCGACGGCGAGGUUUGGCACCUCGAUGUCGGCUCAUCGCAUCCUGGAGGUGAAUUCGCUUCCAAGGGUUGGGCUGUUCGCCCAUUAAAGCGGUACGCGAGCUGGGUUCAGAACGUCGUGAGACAGUUCGGUCCCUAUCUGUCGUGGGCGUUGGAAAUUUGAGGAGAGCUGCCCCUAGUACGAGAGGACCAGGGUGGACGUUCCUACGGUGCACCAGUUGUCACGCCAGUGGCAUAGCUGGGUAGCUAAGUACGGACCGGAUAAACGCUGAAAGCAUCUAAGCGUGAAACCCACUCCAAGAUGAGAUUUCCCAUCAUAAAUGAAUAAGACCCCUUGAAGACGACGAGGUU